GCCCUCUUCAAUACCUUCAUUUUGGCGGUGGUUUCACUUCGAUUGACCUCCUGAAACUGAAAUGGUUCACAUAUCAAGAUCUGGUCAGAUCUGGCUUUGUCGAAUUAAACCAGGAGCUUGGAAACGAAUUUUGGAGUGAAACAAGUUGGGGGGUACUUAGCUUGUUCCAUGGUGGUACCUAGAGAGGCAAUUGCUAAGUCGUGGCACUCUCAUACCUUUACUAGGUGCGAACAAUUCCGGAGAAGAAGAAGAAGUGGAAUUGGACAAGGAUUUUAUUUAUAUUGUUGGGAUUCUUAUAUUGAUAGAGUUGAAGAAGUACAGGGACAAAUAAGCCAAG